rnacentral:rRNA from 1 species
GAAUCUUUCGCAAUGGACGCAAGUCUGACGAAGCCACGCCGUGUGCAUGAUGAAGGCCCUUUGGGUUGUAAAGUGCUGUCAGGAGAGAGGAACCGUUCUGCAUGAAUAGUGCAGGAUCUGACUGCUCUCCAACGGAAGCCCCGGCUAAACAUGUGCCAGCAGCCGCGGUAAUACAUGUGGGGCAAGCGUUGUUCGGAAUUACUGGGCAUAAAGGGUGCGUAGGUGGCGCGGUGCGUCUGUGGUGAAAGUCUUCGGCCCAACCGGAGAAUAGCCGCGGAUACGGCCGUGCUUGAGUGCAUUAGGGGUAGGGGGAACGAGCAGUGUAGCGGUGAAAUGCGUAGAUAUUGCUCGGAAGGCCAGUGCCGAAGGGGCCCUACUGGGAUGUAACUGACACUGAGGCACGAAAGCGUGGGGAGCAAACAGG